UAGUCAUCUGAAAAUGGUGAGGCUGGCGGCAGCAGCAAAUUAGAAAAGAUCUGAAUAACAGAUCUCAAAACGCUACAUUCCGCCAAAUAUGACGGUGUGACCCGGGUUUAUUUUUGCAAACCUUCAUAAAAAGGGAGCUGACAAGUUUAGAGAAUAAACAAACUUUAUUUUAUAACAGUAUUACAGAAAGCAAAAUAUCAUUUAAUACAACUUGAAGCUGCUAGGUAGCUAAUCUUGGCAUUCUAAUUAUACACAGGGGCAAAGCAAGGGAAAGAAUGUUCAAUACAGUUAAUAAGUCCCUAGCAGGUUAUCUGGUGUCAGCUUUAAACGGCACAGUUUUCUUACAACCGUCACAAACACCGCCAUAGCCUUCCUCCUCUCCUGGCCUCCUCACCCCUGCAUGAAUCAUCACACUACCUGAAAGUGAUACACCUGCUCAAUAACAAAAAAGGUCAGUUUCACAUGGAGACAGGAGGUUUAACACAAAGCAAGUGCUCUACACGAGGGUUCAAAUAAUGGAAAGUAUUGAAAUUUGGACAUGUUAAGAAAGAAAGCACUAAGGUUUUAAGCUGCCUGAAUGUUUUAGCGAGAGGGAAGAGAUGUUUUUCUCCCCCUCCGGUGGCUGGAGUGCUGCUGAAGAGCCUGUGUCUGAGAAGCAUCGGCACUGUGGUGCGACAGGGUCUCUAGCACAGUGCGUGGUCAGUGAACUUCUGCGUAGUCACAGAGUUUCCUUUCCGCACAACAGCACCUGUUCAAGCGAACAGCACCUUACCAGCUUGGGCUGGCUUUGUUCACUAUCAUUUGAUCAAAAUGAGUUGUAAAAAGCAGGUAGUUGUACACAAAGUAAAGAGAAAACAAAAACAAAACUAUCAGAAAAAAAAAAGAAAGAAUCAAGAAUAUUUAGGAGUGGUUAUAAAACAAAACAAUAUAUUAAAAUGCGUGGGAAUGGUAUAGACCAGAGCUGUUAAGGUAAGGUUUGGUGUUGGCAUUUUAAUUCUUCAGGCUUCUGGCCAUUGUUAACAGUCAUAUAAAUUUGCUGGAGCAGUGGUGGCAUUAAGACUUGGAAUGGUCAAAAUUCUUCUGGUUCACAAAGUUGAAUGUUGUGGUCUAAAAAGAGGAUAUCUAAGAGGACAAAAAAAGACAAAAAAGAUAAAGCUUAGGACAAAGGCUUGGAGGAGAAACGUUAAGAUUCAUCAAAU
rnacentral:lncRNA from 1 species